rfam:Salmo salar isolate Sally breed double haploid chromosome ssa13, whole genome shotgun sequence.
UACAUUCACUACUGUAAGUCGCUCUGGAUAUGAGCGUCUGCUAAAUGACAAAAA